UAAGGAAUAUUGGUCAAUGGAGGCAGCUCUGAACCAGCCAUGCCGCGUGCAGGAAGAAGGCCCUAUGGGUCGUAAACUGCUUUUGAACAAGAGAAAACCCCGGUACGUGUACUGGGUUGAUAGUAUUGUUAGAAUAAGCAUCGGCUAACUUCGUGCCAGCAGCCGUGGUAAGACGAAGGAUGCAAGCGUUAUCCGGAUUCAUUGGGUUUAAAGGGUGCGUAGGCGGACUGAUAAGUCAGUGGUGAAAUCUCUCGGCUUAACCGAGAAACUGCCAUUGAUACUGUUAGUCUAGAGUACAGAUGAUGUGGGCGGAAUAUGACAUGUAGUGGUGAAAUACUUAGAUAUGUCAUAGAACACCGAUUGCGAAGGCAGCUCACAAAACUGUAACUGACGCUGAGGCACGAAAGUGCGGGGAUCAAACAGGAUUAGAUACCCGUGUAGUCCCUGAGCGGGCUGGCAAGGCGCAU
rnacentral:rRNA from 1 species